rnacentral:rRNA from 1 species
UACGGGGGGUGCAAGCGUUAUUCGGAAUUACUGGGCGUAAAGCGCACGCAGGUGGCUGAGUCAGUCGAUUGUGAAAGCCCUGGGCUUAACCUGGGAAUUGCAGUCGAUACUACUCAGCUAGAGUAUGGGAGAGGGUAGUGGAAUUCCCGGUGUAGCGGUGAAAUGCGUAGAUAUCGGGAGGAACAUCAGUGGCGAAGGCGGCUACCUGGCCCAAUACUGACACUCAGGUGCGACAGCGUGGGGAGCAAACAGG